rnacentral:rRNA from 1 species
CCCAACCAAAUGAGAGUCUGACGGAGCACGCCGCGUGAGUGAUGAAGGUUUUCGGAUCGUAAAGCUCUGUUGUUAGGGAAGAACAAGUACCGUUCGAAUAGGGCGGUACCUUGACGGUACCUAACCAGAAAGCCACGGCUAACUACGUGCCAGCAGCCGCGGUAAUACGUAGGUGGCAAGCGUUGUCCGGAAUUAUUGGGCGUAAAGGGCUCGCAGGCGGUUUCUUAAGUCUGAUGUGAAAGCCCCCGGCUCAACCGGGGAGGGUCAUUGGAAACUGGGGAACUUGAGUGCAGAAGAGGAGAGUGGAAUUCCACGUGUAGCGGUGAAAUGCGUAGAGAUGUGGAGGAACACCAGUGGCGAAGGCGACUCUCUGGUCUGUAACUGACGCUGAGGAGCGAAAGCGUGGGGAGCGAACAGGAUUAGAUACCCUGGUAGUCCACGCCGUAAACGAUGAGUGCUAAGUGUUAGGGGGUUUCCGCCCCUUAGUGCUGCAGCUAACGCAUUAAGCACUCCGCCUGGGGAGUACGGUCGCAAGACUGAAACUCAAAGGAAUUGACGGGGGCCCGCACAAGCGGUGGAGCAUGUGGUUUAAUUCGAAGCAACGCGAAGAACCUUACCAGGUCUUGACAUCCUCUGACAAUCCUAGAGAUAGGACGUCCCCUUCGGGGGCAGAGUGACAGGUGGUGCAUGGUUGUCGUCAGCUCGUGUCGUGAGAUGUUGGGUUAAGUCCCGCAACGAGCGCAACCCUUGAUCUUAGUUGCCAGCAUUCAGUUGGGCACUCUAAAGGUGACUGCCGGUGACAAACCGGAGGAAAGGUGGGGAUGACGUCAAAUCAUCAUGCCCCUUAUGACCUGGGCUACACACGUGCUACAAUGGACAGAACAAAGGGCAGCGAAACCGCGAGGUUAAGCCAAUCCCACAAAUCUGUCUCAGUUCGGGAUCGCAGUCUGCAACUCGACUGCGUGAAGCUGGAAUCGCUAGUAUCGCGAUCAGCAUGCGCGCUGAUACGUCCCGGGUCAUGUACACACGCCCGUCACACCACGAGAGUUGUACACCGAGUCGGUGAGUAACUUAAGAACAGCGCGAGUGUCGAUGAUGGUAUGUACAAGGUACCAAAAGCUAGACGUGCCAACCAAGAGCCCAUGAUCCCCUUAGCUAUGAGACCAUGC